AUUGAACGCUGGCGGCAGGCCUAACACAUGCAAGUCGAGCGGAGCGGCGGACGGGUGAGUAAUGCCUAGGAAUCUGCCUGGUAGUGGGGGAUAACGUCCGGAAACGGGCGCUAAUAUCGCACACUAUCAGAUGAGUCUAGGUCGGAUUAGCUAGUUGGGGGGGUAAAGGCCUACAAAGGCGACGAUCCGGAACUGGUCUGAGAGGAUGAUCAGACACACUGGAACUGAAACACGAUCCAGACUCGUACGGGAGGCAGAAGUGGGGAAUAUUGGACAAUGGGCGAAAGCCUGAUCCAGCCAUGCCGCGUGUGUGAGGAAGGUAUUCGGGUUGUAAAGCACUUUAAGUUGGGAGGCGUUACCAACAGAAUAAGCACCGGCUAACUUCGUGCCAGCAGCCGCGGUAAUAC
rnacentral:rRNA from 1 species